UACGUAGGGUGCAAGCGUUGUCCGGAAUUAUUGGGCGUAAAGAGCUCGUAGGCGGUUUGUCGCGUCUGCUGUGAAAACUCGGGGCUUAACUCCGGGCCUGCAGUGGGUACGGGCAGACUAGAGUGCGGUAGGGGAGACUGGAAUUCCUGGUGUAGCGGUGAAGUGCGCAGAUAUCAGGAGGAACACCGGUGGCGAAGGCGGGUCUCUGGGCCGUAACUGACGCUGAGGAGCGAAAGCGUGGGGAGCGAACAGG
rnacentral:rRNA from 1 species